rnacentral:rRNA from 1 species
AACGAACGCUGGCGGCAGGCUUAACACAUGCAAGUCGAGCGCCCCGCAAGGGGAGCGGCAGACGGGUGAGUAACGCGUGGGAAUCUACCCAUCUCUACGGAACAACGCAUGGAAACGUGUGCUAAUACCGUAUACGUCCUUCGGGAGAAAGAUUUAUCGGAGAUGGAUGAGCCCGCGUUGGAUUAGCUAGUUGGUGGGGUAAAGGCCUACCAAGGUGACGAUCCAUAGUUGGUCUGAGAGGAUGAUCAGCCACACUGGGACUGAGACACGGCCCAGACUCCUACGGGAGGCAGCAGUGGGGAAUAUUGGACAAUGGGCGCAAGCCUGAUCCAGCCAUGCCGCGUGAGUGAUGAAGGCCCUAGGGUUGUAAAGCUCUUUCACCGGUGAAGAUAAUGACGGUAACCGGAGAAGAAGCCCCGGCUAACUUCGUGCCAGCCGCCGCGGUAACAC